GGCAUCGGUUCUCCUCGCUCUCCAGCCUGUUGGCUCAUCCUGUGGAUUUUGGACUUGCCAGGCUCCAACAUGGUUCAAGCCAAUUCCUUAUCAUAAUUCUCUGUAUAUCAGCACAUCCUAUGGGUUCAGCUUCUCUUGAGAACACUGACCAAUCCAAUCACCAUUACUCCCGAUGACUUGUAGGUGAAGCCCAUUAAGGAAAAUUUCUUUUACAAAUCAGAGCUAGGGAAAGAUUUACUGUUCCUGAGCAGCCAAAGUAUUUUCUCCAACGGCCAUGAGAACCUUAAACCUUUCCUUCUUUCCACGCUCCCACGGGCCGCCAGGAACUUGCAGCUUGGCUACAGCAACCAUGGAGGACGUGACUGGGCUCAGCACACGUGCCCAGGCCACCCAAGUAGAGGUGGAGGGCGUGGGAUUCAAGCCCAGGCCAUCGUUGGCUCUGAACAUAUACCUGAAACAACCUCCCUACCAGGAAGGAGGCUGCCCUGCCUGGAGUGAAGAGUGCAUGGAACAGUCUCAGCCGACCCAGGUGGGAUGUGUAACAUGGCUGAGAAACCCACCCAUGCUGCUGAGAGCUACUGCACCAUGGGGUCAUGUGUCACCUAACUGACUUAGCCCAGCCUGACUGAUCCCCCGUGUGUGACCGGACAUCAGCACAUUCAGAGGGCCUCAUACUGAGAACUGGUGGACCUUUCAGAAUGGACAUGACCAAAGUAGGGACAUUACUCGCUAUUUGAUGGCCCAUGUGGGACCAAAGGCCACUGGGGUUCCCUCCAAGGCAUAGCACACUUAGAAUCCUGUAAGUCCUCAGUUCUAAGGCAUGUAUUUUUUAUACUUUGAUAAUUCUGAAAUCAAGUAUAGCUUCUAGUAGAUAUUAAACUCAUUUUCAGAUCCUGCAGAAAGGAGGAGACAGAAAUAAAGUUGCCAUUCCCUGCUUUUAUGUGAACCCAGCUGAGCAUAAACCAUAAUCUACUCAACCUC